UAUUACUGAUUAGAUAUAGACAUAAAUAUUACUGAUUAGAUAUUACUGAUCUCAGGUGUGACUUGAUAUUUAUCCAAUUUACCCAAAGAUCUUUAUUAUUUAGGGAAAUAUAUAUAUAUAUAUAUAUAUAUAUAUAUAUAUAUAUAUUUCCCUAAAUAAUAAAGAUCUUUGGGUAAAUUGGAUAAAUAUCAAGUCACACCUGAGAUCAGUAAUAUUAUGACAUCACAACAGUCAUAGCGCUUUGUACAAUAUAGACUGUCAAAGCAUUUUUUUUUUUUUUUUUUUUGCAGUAUUAAACAGAAACAACGUGUGCUGAUAAUGCAAAAGGACAAUUGAUUUAUCAGUUAAAGUCAGUCCAUCGUUGAUUCAGUCAUGUCAUCGUCCAGCUCCGUUCAGUUCUCUUCAAAUAGUGUCUGUGCAGUCAAGUCAACAAUGUUGCCAGAGAUUGUGUCCCCAACUACGCAAGCCAAAUGUGAUAGUGACAAGGAACCAAGACUCCAUCAGUGACAGAAAUGGAGAAAAAAAAACCUUGGGAGAAACCAGGCUCAGUCAGUUCUCUUCUGGUCAGACGAAACCUGCAUGGUGUGGUUUAAUUGCAGGCUGCAACACAGCGCACCACAGUUCCAUCAACUGUCCCAAGUGUCUAUGCUUGCACUUCUCCUGCAGUCCCUAUUAUCAGGUUUGCAACAGUGUAGGAGAAGCUUUCAUCCACCAAGGGUCCUGACAGUGGCUGCUUUCAUAAAGGGAUGGCAGAAGAUAAGAGAAAGCUCUGACCAGCUUGCCUUCCCAUGAUAAAUCUUUAUCAGUUUAGGUGAUGGUCUGACCUCAGAGGCAUGUGCCAGCAAGGGGUUCUCAUUAAUACAACUUUAAAACCUCCUGGCUCAUUCUUCCUAUUUUCUUGACGCCUGUGACCUUUCUAGAAUUGCCGUUAUCAAACGGGGCCUUCCUCCUCUGCCUUUGAGUCAGGAGAAAUGAAAGGUUUGAGUGCCAUAGGUUUUGUGUGCCUUGAAAAAUGACACAUUCAUACUCAUGUGCUGGUGUUAUCAUUGUCAGACUGAAAAGACGGUGACGGAUGGGUCCAAAAACAGUGAAGCACACUGUGCAAAGUAAACACAAGCCAUUGCACCAAGUUGAGAUUUAAGGGUUUUGCAAUGGAAAGCUGUUUAGACAACAUUCAUGAUGGUUUUACCCCAUUUGAUACGUUGCAUUUUUCUUUUCUUUUUUUUUUUUUUCUUUUUUUGGUCCAGAUGUAUUAAUUUAUUUAAAAAUACAUUAAAUAAAUCCAGUGCAUUGAAUACAUCUCUACUGUGAUAAGCAUGUUUUGCAUUUAUGAAUUCAUCUGUUUUUUUUUUUGUUUUGUUUUUUUUGUCUUUUUAAUGUCUUGAUAGGAUACAUGUCUUGCAAAAGAUAAAAAGAAUAAAACUUUUAAAUUUAUAUUUUAAUUUGACAUUUUGUGUCACGGCAAAGCUAGUUUAGGUUGUAUAAUAUCAUUUGGAGUGUCC
ensembl:lncRNA